AGUGAACGCUGGCGGUAGGCCUAACACAUGCAAGUCGAACGGCAGCACAGUAAGAGCUUGCUCUUACGGGUGGCGAGUGGCGGACGGGUGAGGAAUACAUCGGAAUCUACUUUUUCGUGGGGGAUAACGUAGGGAAACUUACGCUAAUACCGCAUACGACCUACGGGUGAAAGCAGGGGAUCUUCGGACCUUGCGCGAUUGAAUGAGCCGAUGUCGGAUUAGCUAGUUGGCGGGGUAAAGGCCCACCAAGGCGACGAUCCGUAGCUGGUCUGAGAGGAUGAUCAGCCACCCGGGAAGUGAGACACGGUCCAGACUCCGACGGGAGGAAGCAGUGGGGACUAUUGGACAAUGGGCGCAAGCCUGAUCCAGCGAUACCGCGUGGGUGAAGAAGGCCUUCGGGUUGUAAAGCCCUUUUGUUGGGAAAGAAAAGCAGCAGGUUAAUACCCCGCUGUUCUGACGGUACCCAAAGAAUAAGCACCGGCUAACUUCGUG
rnacentral:rRNA from 1 species